rnacentral:rRNA from 1 species
AUUGAACGCUGGCGGCAGGCCUAACACAUGCAAGUCGAACGAGUGGCGGACGGGUGAGUAAUGUCUGGGAAACUGCCUGAUGGAGGGGGAUAACUACUGGAAACGGUAGCUAAUACCGCAUACCAUCGGAUGUGCCCAGAUUGGCUUAGCUAGUAGGUGGGGUAAAGGCGCACCUAGGCGACGAUCCCUAGCUGGUCUGAGAGGAUGACAAGUCACACUGGAACGGCGACACGCUCCAGAAUCCGACGGGAGGCAGCAGUGGGGAAUAUUGCACAAUGGGCGCAAGCCUGAUGCAGCCAUGCCGCGUGUAUGAAGAAGGCCUUCGGGUUGUAAAGUACUUUCAUCGGGGAGGCGUUACCAGCAGAAGAAGCACCGGCUAACUCCGUGCCAGCAGCCGCGGUAAUUC